CGCGCAGGCGGUUCGGUAAGUCCCGCGUGAAAUCCCCCGGCUCAACUGGGGAACGUGCGCGGGAAACUGCCGGGCUUGAGUUCGGGAGAGGGAAGCGGAAUUCCGGGUGUAGCGGUGAAAUGCGCAGAUAUCCGGAGGAACACCGGUGGCGAAGGCGGCUUCCUGGACCGACACUGACGCUGAGGCGCGAAAGCUAGGGGAGCAAACGGGAUUAGAUACCCCGGUAGUCCUAGCUGUAAACGAUGAGCGCUGGGUGUAGGGGGUGUUAACCCCCCUGUGCCGAAGCUAACGCAUUAAGCGCUCCGCCUGGGGAGUACGGUCGCAAGGCUGAA
rnacentral:rRNA from 1 species